rfam:Mycoplasma sp. CAG:877 genomic scaffold, scf53
UCAGUUUAAAGAAUUUCCGACUUUUUACUUAGUUUCGGUCAAUAUAUAAGAAAGGAAGUGUUAAUAAUGGCAUUAACAAAAGAUGAAAAAGCAAAAAUCGUUAAAGAAUUUGCUAAAAAUGAG